rnacentral:rRNA from 1 species
GACGGAGGAUGCAAGUGUUAUCCGGAAUCACUGGGCGUAAAGCGUCUGUAGGUGGUCAAAUAAGUCAACUGUUAAAUCUUGAGGCUCAACCUCAAAAUCGCAGUCGAAACUAUUAGACUAGAGUAUAGUAGGGGUAAAGGGAAUUUCCAGUGGAGCGGUGAAAUGCGUAGAGAUUGGGAAGAACAUCAGUGGCGAAAGCGCUCUACUGGACCUUAUCUGACAUUGAGGGACGAAAGCUAGGGGAGCGAAUGGG